rnacentral:rRNA from 1 species
AUUGAACGCUGGCGGCAGGCCUAACACAUGCAAGUCGAGCGGAUGAAGGGGGCUUGCUCCUGGAUUCAGCGGCGGACGGGUGAGUAAUGCCUAGGAAUCUGCCUGGUAGUGGGGGAUAACGUCCGGAAACGGGCGCUAAUACCGCAUACGUCCUGAGGGAGAAAGUGGGGGAUCUUCGGACCUCACGCUAUCAGAUGAGCCUAGGUCGGAUUAGCUAGUUGGUGGGGUAAAGGCCUACCAAGGCGACGAUCCGUAACUGGUCUGAGAGGAUGAUCAGUCACACUGGAACUGAGACACGGUCCAGACUCCUACGGGAGGCAGCAGUGGGGAAUAUUGGACAAUGGGCGAAAGCCUGAUCCAGCCAUGCCGCGUGUGUGAAGAAGGUCUUCAGAUUGUAAAGCACUUUAAGUUGGGAGGAAGGGCAGUAAGUUAAUACCUUGCUGUUUUGACGUUACCAACAGAAUAAGCACCGGCUAACUUCGUG